GCUUUAGCUCCUUUUGAUAUGAAAAGGUGUCUUAAAAUAUCAACUUCACAAUUCUGUCCAUUAAUAAUGUAGAAGCUUGCUUCAAUUCAAAAUAUUUAAAUAAAUGUCUGAAUGCAGUUUUAAAAGAUGAAUUGAAAUUACGUUAUACUUCUUCACCAGUUUACCAGAGCACACAGAAUUAAAAAUGUUGUCUAGUUGGUACUAGAAAACUAAAACUGUUUCCAUCUAUGCAUAUUUUUAUUCUGUUUUUUUUUUUUUUAAUGUUGUUUUUGUUUUAGGGUAGGCAGUUCUGAAUAAUCCUGCCUGAUAACCUACUUACUCCCAGUGCCCAAGUACAUCCGAUGCUGCGACUUCUUGGACAAAACAAAAACUUUCUGCUGACUAAUGUCUCCACUUUGCCCCAACCUGCUGGAUGCUCUGGAAAGGAGUGAGUGAAGAGCAAAUGGCUGGCAUCAAGUUAUUUUUGAAGACAGAAGAAAUGAGAACUGUUACGAUUUCAGGGGCUUUAGGGGCAAGCCAAACUGGUUUGGGCUGCUGCAAAUGUUGCCUCAGCUUCUGCUCAGCUGUCAGAUUAAUGAUACCUACUCUAGCAAUGCCAACUACCAAACCCCAUGGCAUUUGGCAGUUAUGAACCAUACAGAUUUUGAUUAUAAAGACUCUUUAUCUUUUAAAUAAUAAUUUAAGAA
rnacentral:lncRNA from 1 species